AAAAAUUCCUUAAAAUCCCCUUGGAAAUUCUCCCAAAAAUUCCCCAAAAUCCGCUCGAAAUUCUCCCAAAAAUUCCCUCAAAAUCCCCUGGGAAAUUCUCCCAAAAUCCCCCUCAAAAUCUUCCCAAAAUUCCCCAAAAUCCCUUCAAAAUUCCCUCAAAAAUCCGUUCGGAAAAUCUCUCGAAAAGUUCUCCCGAAAUCCCCUCGGAAUUCCCUCAAAAAUUCCCAAAAAUCCCCUCGGGAUUCUCCCAAAAAUUCCCUAAAAUCCCCUUGGAAAUUCACACAAAAAUUCCCUCAAAAUCCCCCCAAAAAUACCCAAAAUCCGCUCGGAAUUCUCCCAAAAAUUCCCAAAAAUCCCCUCGGAAUUCCCUCAAAAACUCCCAAAUAAUCCGCUCGAAAUUCCCUCAAAAAUUCCCUAAAAUCCCCUUGGAAAUUCUCACAAAAAUUCCCUAAAAUCCCCACGGAAUUCCCUCAAAAACUCCCCAAAAUCCGCUCAAAAUUCUCCCAAAAAUACCCAAAAUCCGCUCGAAAUUCUCCCAAAAACUCCCUAAAAUCCCCUUGGAAAUUCUCUCAAAAAUUCCCUCAAAAUCCCCCCAAAAAUACCCCAAAAAUCCACUCCAAAUUCUCCCAAAAAUUCCCUAAAAUCCCCUCGGAAUUCCCUCAAAAUCUCCCCAAAAAUCCGCUCGAAAUUCUCCCAAAAAUUCCCAAAAAUCCCCUCGGAAUUCUCUCAAAAAUUCCCUAAAAUCCGCUCGGAAUUCUCCCAAAACUUCCCAAAAAUCCCCCUGGAAAUUCUCACAAAAAUUCCCUCCAAAUCCCCCCAAAAAUCCCCUCGGAAUUCCCUCAAAAAUUCCCUAAAAUCCGCUCGAAAUUCUCCCAAAAAUUCCCUCGGAAUUCCCUCAAAAACUCCCCAAAAUCCACUCGGAAUUCCCUCAAAAAUUCCCUAAAAUCCCCUUGGAAAUUCUCCCAAAAAUUCCCGCAAAAUCCCCUCCAAAUCCUCCCAAAAAUCCCCCCGGAAUUCCCUCAAAAACUCCCAAAAUCCACUCGAAAUUCUUCCAAAAAUUCCCAAAAAUCCCCUCGGAAUUCCCUCAAAAACUCCCCAAAAUCCGCUCGAAAUUCUCCCAAAAAUUCCCUCGAAAUUCCCUCAAAAACUCCCUAAAAUCCCCUUGGAAAUUCUCCCAAAAAUUCCCUAAAAUCCGCUCGGAAUUCCCUCAAAAAUUCCCUAAAAUCCGCUUGGAAUUCCCUCAAAAACUCCCAAAUAAUCCGCUCGGAAUUCUCCCAAAAAUAUUCCCUAAAAUCCCCUCGGAAUUCCCUCAAAAACUGCCAAAAAUCCGCUCGGAAUUCUCCCCAAAAUUCCCUAAAAUCCCCUUGGAAAUCCUCCCAAAAUCCCCCUCAAAAUCUUCCCAAAAUUCCCAAAAAUCCCUUCAAAAUUCCCUCAAAAAUCCGUUCGGAAAAUCUCUCAAAAUUCUCCCGAAAUCCGCUCGAAAUUCCCUCAAAAAUUCCCAAAAAUCCCCUCGGAAUUCCCUCAAAAACUCCCAAAAUCCCCUAGGAAUUCCCUCAAAAAUUCCCUAAAAUCCCCUCGGAAUUCCCUCAAA
ensembl:lncRNA